rnacentral:rRNA from 1 species
UACGAAGGGGGCGAGCGUUGUUCGGAAUCACUGGGCGUAAAGGGCGCGUAGGCGGCCCUCUUAGUCGCGUGUGAAAGCCCCGGGCUCAACCUGGGAACGGCGCGCGAAACGGGAGGGCUGGAGUUCGGGAGAGGAGAGUGGAAUUCCCAGUGUAGAGGUGAAAUGCGUAGAUAUCGUAAGGAAGACCAGUGGCGAAGGCGGGUCUCUGGACAGUUCCUGACGCUGAGGCACGAAGGUCAGGGGAGCAAACGGGG